CAGAACAGAACAGAACAGAACAGACUUCUGAAGGCUGACUCUGUAGCUCAGUUGAGAGCACUCGCCUAGCAUGCCCCCAGCAUAGCAUAAAUCCAACAAACAUGCCUAUGAUCUUGGCACUUGGGAGGUAGAGGAGCAGAGAUGUUAGAGUCAUCCCUGGCUACAUAAAAAGGAAACUGAGGCAGAGAGGAAAAAUCAAUUAAGACAGUCAUCUGGGACAGAGUCAUCGCUUAGACCCUCCCCCUCACCCCCUCUUGUUUUCAUGGAGAUGGUAGACUGAGGGGUCCAUUCACCCUGGGAUAAGUCCUUGAUGAUAGCAGAGGAGUCUGUGAGGUAUUGCCAAGCCCAGACAGCACCAUGGAGAGACAAGAACAUAUGGCAGUUGUCCCAGGAUGACAGUGUGACCCAGGACACCAAGAACAUGGGACUUGCAGCUCUGAGUUUUUGGACAACAGGACUCCUGUGCACUGGCCCAGCAGAUGGACUGGUCCCUGUCAUGGAGGGCCUUCUCUGAGCUCCAUGGCACCAAUGAUGGUGUGACAUAGCAGGUAUCCCAGGAUGACCUUGAACUCCUGAUCCUUCUGCCUCCACCCCCUGAAUGCUGACAUUGUGGGCUUGUAUCACAACUGGCUUCUGGCUGGGUCCUGUUAACUUCUGAAGACUAAGUGAAGUAGAUCUUAGGAAAUGUCAUGGCUGCAAAGAUUCUGAAGCAAGAGAAGAGAGAGCAGACAGGCAGGUGGAUGGGGCAGAUGAUGGCCCAGGCUGUGACCUAUGGAAGCCCUUGAGGAGUGGAGCGAGGGAAGCUAUGGCCUUCUGUCCCCGGUACUUGGCUGAUCAGAGCACCUAGAGACUGAGAAACCUGGAGGCACGGUAAAAAGCACGCCCAAAGGCCUGUCACCUGGAUGAUUCUAGAACCUUCCACGUUGAUGAUUAGCCAUCAGGAACAGUGGUCCUGGAGCAAGCUGGGGUGGGGCUCUGCCCAUUUUAGAGGAUACUAGGAGUUCUCUAAAGAGUAGUUCCUGGGGGUUCUCCAUCUAAGGAAGAAACCACUCAGCUCAGAGACCAGUGCACCUAAAUUGGUUCUUCUCUCAGCCAACCAGUUCAAAAAUCAUCUCCUCUGCGAAGACUUCAUGAAUACAUCCCCUUCUGCUCCUUCUAAAAUCUACCCACUGCCCCUCCUGAGGAGCCCUACAGCACACUGUUCAAGCCCACUACAUACUAAUGGAAAGGAAACUGUUCGUUGAAAGCCUGGUGUUCCAGGCCUUCAGUAACUGCUGACCAGGCAUCCGUCAUGGCAGACACUCAGCUGGAUGCCACACAUACACAGCAGUGACCAAAUCCAGAGCUAGGUCCUUCAGAAAGUCACAGCCUUCUUGGGAUCAUUCACCUGGCCUUGCCCUGACUGCCUUGCUCAACAUUUAAAAGCACACUUUUUGUGAUCCAGAGACUGAACAUUUUCUGUCACAUCUACAUCAAUGAAGCUUACAAAAAAAUGCCGACUUCCGGGGUCCCGAAGAUCAUGACGCCUACUUAUGCUCAUUACAUGAUAUUCACUUGAAAUUUCUUAGCCUUUGCCCAAUUAGCUUCCGUGGACAGCCAUGUAUGAGCAUGGUGCUGCUCCCUGGCCUCUGCCCCGUGAGACUCAUCUCAUCCACGGGUUCCCAGUUCACUCCUGCCUGAGGCGUAGACCAGGCAGUGGUGUAGGUGGGCCCUGGAUUAUAGAAAGCCCUGUACAGACUUUUGAUGGGGUGGCAGGGAGGCACAGCUUCGAGUGGGUAUAGGGGCUGCGUGAUGAGAUGCUUCCCAGUUUCCAGACUGAAACUGAACCAACCAUAGACCCCCACCUUCCCAGGCAUGACUGAGACACUGGAAGGAAAAAGGUAAUUAAAACACAACAAUCAAACCAACCUUUUUAAAUAGUAACUUUUAAAAAUAUAAAAAGCUUCAUUACAAUGAUGUUUCAAUUUUUCUUUUUUCUUCAGGAAUAACUCUCUUCCACCCUAACCCUCCCUUCUGGCUAGAGCCUUAACAAGUGGUGGCCAGUGAUCAUCUGAAACCCAGAGACAGAUGGACAGACUCCAGACAGGCAUGUCGACAUGCCUCUCAGGAAGGUGCGGGGUGCCACGGUCUUUCCAUGUCCCAACAUACAUCCUGUUCGGGGCAGCCGCUCAGUUGGAGCACUGGAGAUGGGCAGGUUUUAGACACCCUCAUCUUUCUUCCCAGACUGAGUCCCACAUUAUAAAAUAAUCCAUAAAAAUGCAAUAUAAAAACUCUCUUCCAUAUGCUACAUCCAUGGAAAGCCCACCAGCAGGGCUCACACGGUCUUUAGCUUUUCUUUAAUAAAACAACAAAAGACCAAAACAAAACAAAGCAAACCUAAUACCACAAACAUUGGUACCCUAGGGGUGAUAUCUGCAGAUGACAUUCCGUCUGCCCCAGCCCCCAGC